rnacentral:lncRNA from 1 species
ACCUGCAGUCUUUGCAAUGAAUUGCAUAUAUUAUUAGGACUUUAGGUAUUCAAUACCCAGAUAGUAGUAUCACAAACAGAAAAAUUACAAGUUAUUAUCAUAUAAGUAUCUUGCGAAGCAACUGUUUGCUUUUUUCUCUUAUUUUUAGGCCUGUUUGGAUCAAGGGUGGCUAUAUAAGCAGGAUAAUUCUUUUUCAAAUAAUCCAGUUUCUUGCAAAAGAAGCAUUCUUCCUAGCUCUUGUCAACUUUUGAUGGUUUGCUCUGCUU